rnacentral:tRNA from 1 species
GCCUGACUGGCUCAGUGGCUAGAGCAUGUGGCUUUUGAUCUCGGGGUCGUGAGUUUGAGUUCCACGUUGGGUG